AUAGAGGGGAGGGAUUCGAACCAACAUCAAAAAACUCAAAAUUUCGCACAUUACAUUAUGCUACCCCCUA
rnacentral:tRNA from 1 species